UAAAUACUUAAUUAAGGAGGCUCUGCGGAGGAGAGCUUGGUAACCUUUGUUGCUAUGAUAGACCCUGCAACAAAGGUUACCAAGCUCUCCUCCGCAGAGCCUCCUUAAUUUUA
rnacentral:miRNA from 1 species